rnacentral:rRNA from 1 species
UACGUAGGGUGCAAGCGUUAAUCGGAAUUACUGGGCGUAAAGCGUGCGCAGGCGGUUAUGUAAGACAGUUGUGAAAUCCCCGGGCUCAACCUGGGAAUUGCAUCUGUGACUGCAUAGCUAGAGUACGGUAGAGGGGGAUGGAAUUCCGCGUGUAGCAGUGAAAUGCGUAGAUAUGCGGAGGAACACCGAUGGCGAAGGCAGCCUCCUGGGCCAACACUGACGCUCAUGCACGAAAGCGUGGGGAGCAAACAGG